GGGGACCACUAAGGUCUAUAUAAAAGAGACUUCAGAUACAGUAUUAGGGGACAACUAAGGGCUAUAUAAAAGCAUACAAAGAUCACCAUAUCAUGGGACCUUUAA